rnacentral:rRNA from 1 species
GAUGAACGCUGGCUACAGGCUUAACACAUGCAAGUCGAGGGGAAACGACGGGGAAGCUUGCUUCCCCGGGCGUCGACCGGCGCACGGGUGAGUAACGCGUAUCCAACCUGCCUCUGACUGAGGGAUAACCCGUCGAAAGUCGGCCUAAUACCUCAUGGUAUCGUCUGCGGGCAUCCAACGACGAUUAAAGAUUUCAUCGGUCAGGGAUGGGGAUGCGUCUGAUUAGCUUGUUGGCGGGGUAACGGCCCACCAAGGCUACGAUCAGUAGGGGUUCUGAGAGGAAGGUCCCCCACAUUGGAACUGAGACACGGUCCAAACUCCUACGGGAGGCAGCAGUGAGGAAUAUUGGUCAAUGGGCGAGAGCCUGAACCAGCCAAGUAGCGUGCAGGAAGACGGCCCUAUGGGUUGUAAACUGCUUUUAUGCGGGGAUAAAGUGAGGGACGUGUCCCUGAUUGCAGGUACCGCAUGAAUAAGGACCGGCUAAUUCCGUG